ACACUCCCAAUUCAUUUCUAAAGCAAUUAAAUAAUAGAACUAAGUCUUAAUCAUAGCAAUAAAUCCCAAAAGAAGGUAAAUAAUAUAGUUUGCAGAAAGAGAAAGACAUAACCCGACAUCGGGGUGUCACCAGUCAUGAGCAUCUAUAAUAGUACUACAAGUCUGAAAGAGUCUACUCCACUGAUACAUGACUAAAAUAGAAGGAAAUAAGAUAGAGGGAGAAGAACUGGGCUGCGAAUUGUCGGGCAGCUACCUAGUGUAUCUCCGGAAUCUGCUGGACAGCUCUCAAUCCUCGCAAGCAGGACCUGAUGCGCCUGAAUCUGCACAUGGGGUGCAUAGAGUAAAGUGAGUACUUCAACUCAGUGAGUAAUAAUAAUAAAUGCAGAAUGAGUAUUAAGAAAUCAUGUAAAGGCAUUUUAACAGGCUAUAAAGAAGCAGUAAAAGCAAUGGAACAAUGAAAAUAUGUAAAGCCACUUAAGUGCAGUUUAAACUUCUUGAAAUGCCUUUUUAACAAUUAAGCAAGUAAAUGACAGGCAACUAGGAAAGAUAAACACAUAAAGAAUCGCCCCUCGGGCACAAUACCAACAGAAACAGCCCCUCAGGCAACACAUGGAACAACACCAGCCCCUCGGGCUAUAUCUCAAAUCACAAUGGGUACCCGCACUCACUAGGGGUGUGCAGACUCCUAGAGGGGCCCCUUACGGCCCAAGCGCAAUAUUAAGCCAUCCCGUGGCAUAAUCAAUAGGCUCUCGGCCUCAUAUCAAGCCACCUCGUGGCGUACAACUCAGGCCCUCGGCCUCAUAAUCAUAAUCAGUGUAUCCUCACAACACAGGCCCUCAACCUUACUCAGUCAGAAUCUCAAAAGCCACUCGGGUAACAGUAAAACAUGAUGAUCAACCUGAUUUAUCAUUUAAAAUAUAAUUUAAUGAUUAAAACAGAGUAAACAUGGUUGAGUUAUGAAAACAGUAGAAUAUAGCGUGACUGAGUACAAGUAUAAAGUCAAAAUAGUGAGAAAAUAUCUGUAAAAAUCCCCUAAGGGUCCAAAUAGUUAGCACGAGGCCCAAAUAUGGCGUUCAGCCCAAAAUAUGAUGAUAGCAAAUAGUUUUCAAUCAAAUACACGGUAAAACAGUCAUUCGGGACAGACUAAGUCACAAUCCCCAACGGUGCACGACCCCACGCUCGUCAUCUAGCGUGUGCGUCACCUUAAUAUAUCACCACGAUGUGCAAUCCGAGGUUUCAUACCCUUAGGACAACAUUUAAAAUCAUUACUCACCUCAAUCCGGUCCGAACUCUAGCCUGUGACGCCUUUGCCUCUCAAAUCGGCCUCAACUCGCGUCGAAUCUAUCCAAAAUCAGAAUCACGACGUCAAAAUAUGCUAAGGGAACGAAGCCCGUGCGAAAAUAAUCAAAUUACAACAUAAAUUCCGAAAUUAUCCAAAACCGCCCACAUCUCGGAAUUCGAUAAAUUUUACAUCAACAGAUUUCUUAUCUUC
rnacentral:lncRNA from 1 species